GAAAGAGAACCGUUCGACAAUUUUACGAAUUAACGCGGGAAACGGCAGCGCGCGCACGAGUCGAUGCGCUUACUAUCACUGAUGCUAAUUCGAGGAAGAUUGCAAAGGGGGGAGGGAGAGCAAGAGAAGAGGGAUGUUUACGCUGGGAUCUGCGAAACUUCCGAGGGUGGCGGUGGCUUCGGGGGCGCGCACCGUCGGGCUCGCGGUUUCGCGGUUAAGGCGACGUCACCGAGCCAACGUUGCGGAAAUCAAAUCGUUAACCCCUUCGACGAACGUUCCGACACCGAUACUGGUCAUCCCCCGACCGUGACUUGAAUCAUAAACCUGCAGUAGUGGUGAACGGCCGGCCGGGUCCCGGGACUUUUCAGCCUGCGGGAACCGCCCUCCCGCACUCAAUAAUCCCAUAGCGCUACAGCAAGCCUCUAUUACGAAACCUCGAUCCCCCGGUCGGCCCCUAAAAACCCCCGGCCGCCCCUCGCCGAUGUUCGCCGGGACCGAGGACGGAUAGAACUCGCCCUGAUUCCUGCCAUGGAACACUACGUACCGUGAAACCACCCUUCGCCGUCUACGCUACUGAAUUGAUGGGAAGGCCUGACCAUGUUCGAACUGCAGACAGAUAUGUGACCUUCCCCCGGCGAGGGAAAACCUUCCCAAUCUGAGAAGAAGCGUGUAGGCGAAGUCGUGUUCCCUCGUCGAUGUAAAAUGAAAGAUGCAAAAUUUCACAAGUUUAACAUAUAAAGUUUAUAUCCUACAACGUCACACACGUAAAAAAGUAAUUUUGUAAGAAAGUUUGUACAACGCAAUGAAAAUGUUGAGAUGUCACACAAGGA